UGGGGAAUAUUGGACAAUGGGCGAAAGCCUGAUCCAGCCAUGCCGCGUGUGUGAAGAAGGCCUUUUGGUUGUAAAGCACUUUAAGCGAGGAGGAGGCUACUUGGAUUAAUACUCUAGGAUAGUGGACGUGACUCGCAGAAUAAGCACCGGCUAACUCUGUGCCAGCAGCCGCGGUAAUACAGAGGGUGCGAGCGUUAAUCGGAUUUACUGGGCGUAAAGCGUGCGUAGGCGGCUUCUUAAGUCGGAUGUGAAAUCCCUGAGCUUAACUUAGGAGUUUCAUUCGAUACUGGGAAGCUAGAGUAUGGGAGAGGAUGGUAGAAUUCCAGGUGUAGCGGUGAAAUGCGUAGAGAUCUGGAGGAAUACCGAUGGCGAAGGCAGCCUGCUGGCCUAAUACUGACGCUGAGGUACGAAAGCAUGGGGAGCAAACAGG
rnacentral:rRNA from 1 species